rnacentral:rRNA from 1 species
GAGUUUGAUCCUGGCUCAGGACGAACGCUGGCGGCGUGCUUAACACAUGCAAGUCGAACGAUGAAGCUAAGACUGACGCCUUCGGGCAGACGACUUAGCGGAUUAGUGGCGGACGGGUGAGUAACGCGUGAGCAAUCUACCAUGGACAAAGGGAUAGCCUCGGGAAACUGGGAUUAAUACCUUAUGAUUCUUCUCUUAGGCAUCUUUAAGAAGAUAAAGAAUUUCGGUCCAUGAUGAGCUCGCGUCUGAUUAGCUAGUUGGUGAGAUAAAAGCUCACCAAGGCGAUGAUCAGUAACCGGCCUGAGAGGGUGAACGGUCACACUGGAACUGAGACACGGUCCAGACUCCUACGGGAGGCAGCAGUGGGGAAUCUUGCACAAUGGAGGCAACUCUGAUGCAGCGACGCCGCGUGAGCGAUGAAGGUAUUCGUAUCGUAAAGCUCUGUUGUUGGGGAAGAUAAUGACAGUACCCAUCGAGAAAGCCCCGGCUAACUAAGUGCCAGCAGCCGCGGUAAUACUUAGGGGGCAAGCGUUGUCCGGAAUUAUUGGGCGUAAAGGGUACGCAGGCGGUUUAAGAAGUGAGUUGUGAAAGCGUGAGGCUCAACCUCAUACAGCAAUUCAAACUCUUAAACUUGAGUAGUGGAGAGGAAAGUGGAAUUCUUAGUGUAGCGGUGAAAUGCGUAGAUAUUAAGAGGAACACCAGUGGCGAAGGCGACUUUCUGGACACUAACUGACGCUGAGGUACGAAAGCGUGGGGAGCAAACAGGAUUAGAUACCCUGGUAGUCCACGCCGUAAACGAUGAGUGCUAGGUAUCGGAAGAAUUCGGUGCCGCAGUGAACGCAUGAA